AUUCAUUAAAUUUUUAAAAAAAAAAUUACAUUAAAAAAAUAAAUGUUUAAAUUUUUUUUCUUUUAGGUUUGUUUAAAUUCCUAACUACAUUUAUGAACAAUACAAGAUGUCUUGCCAUGAAGAACAACAAAAUCUUAUUGCAGAUCACCUUCACCAUAUUCGGAUCUUCUCAAGCCCUUACUGCCCCCUCUGUAACUCUAAUAUCCCUAUCCACACCACAUCCGCCACUGUGCAGUCGUUAGGGGCGACUCCGAGACUGGGCUUUAUUGGAAGGCCAGAGAACUUAUGAGGCAUUAACUUCGGUCAAUUUAUUGUUGUGUCAUCUUUACUUUUGUUCCUGUUCAUUUAUUUUCAUUUUUGUCUUGCCAUUGGAAAUAUUGAAAAAAAAAUGAAUUAAAAGAAAAAGAAAUAUUUCAUAAUAUGGAGACUUUUCUUGUACCUAUCCUACACUUUAGGAGAAAAAAACUUGACGACCUGGAAAUUUUAAUAUGUUUACAUGGAAAAACCUGAAAAAAAUUAGGGAAAUUUAUGACUGGAUUUAAGUGACCACCCUGCUCAGUGUUGGUUGAUGUGAAUAUAAUUGUAUUAAAUGUAAAUUUUUGUCAUGUAGAGGUUUGUUUGAUUUUAAUUUAAUCCAUUCUAUGGAAUUUUCCUGAUUUUAAACUGGGUCUUAUUGUUAUUAUUAUUGUUUAUUUAACCUUAUUUUUUCAUCUUCUCUAAUUAUAAUUUUCUAUUUACAAUACCAGUUUGCUUUUUACAUUUAUAUAACUAUUCUGCUUUAGAUAUUUUAAUAAUAUUUAUGUCAUUUCCCUGAAAAUGCUCAUACGUCAUGAAUUUUGCAGAAAAUUUACUAAAUUGUAAAGUCAUUUUUUACAAUAAAAAAAUUUUGAAUGA